rnacentral:rRNA from 1 species
UGGGGAAUAUUGCACAAUGGGGGAAACCCUGAUGCAGCAACGCCGCGUGCGGGAUGACGGCCUUCGGGUUGUAAACCGCUUUCAGCCAUGACGAAGCUUUUGUGACGGUAGUGGCAGAAGAAGCACCGGCUAACUACGUGCCAGCAGCCGCGGUGAUACGUAGGGUGCGAGCGUUGUCCGGAAUUAUUGGGCGUAAGAGCUUGUAGGCGGUUUGUCGCGUCGAAAGUGUAAACUCAGUGCUUAACGCUGAGCCUGCUUUCGAUACGGGCUGACUAGAGGAAGGUAGGGGAGAAUGGAAUUCCCGGUGGAGCGGUGGAAUGCGCAGAUAUCGGGGGGAACACCAGUGGCGAAGGCGGUUCUCUGGACCUUUCCUGACGCUGAGAAGCGAAAGCGUGGGUAGCAAACAGG